rnacentral:lncRNA from 1 species
GACCGUCAGCACGGCCACAGAGCAUUCUUCCGUGACACAACGGGAACAUUUUAAACCUGAAAUAAAAUCUCCUGCUGCUGUGGGCACAGACCGAAACAGCAAUGUGAGCCUACGUAACAGUGUGUGAAGGACAAGAACACGAAAACCAGAGACUUGUAUCUAUCUUUGUUUUUACCACCUUAGCAAAAUACUAUCGCAUUACAAAUAUUUUCAGCUUAUUGAAUUUAUAUGAAAUUUGAGAAUAGAACUUGAUGUUUCUCAAAAGGUUUCCGUGAGUAGCAAAUGGCAGUCACCAACACCGUGGGUAUUCUCUAGUUUUUACUGUAAUUUCCUAACCUGAAUAAGUAUCUAUACUCCCAUAGCUCAUCGUACUGAGUAUUCACCUAGUCUGUAGAGAUGGAUGAUUAAGCUGUGAUGUGAAAAGAGGAUGUGAACUAAGUAAGAGAAUGAUUGCUUCCCAGGAGGAGGAAAACCCACCAUCAAAAGCUCUACAACCCAACGAUGUAAGGAACAACUCCAUGGAGGGAGAUAUUAGAGAGAUGUAGAAGAAGCCUCCACUCACUAUAAAGUUGCUGGAGCAGAAUCAUUUGAGAUAACGGUGACCAGUCAGAAUUCCACAGUCAAGAUCGAAUUAAAGAAAUUACAUAAAGUUUUAGAGGCCAUUAUUUUAGGCCAGGGCAUGGGGUCAGGGGGCCAGUGAUGAAGCAGCACACACUGAAGUGUUCAAGAAGGGCAUAGCUACCACUUCAUAGGAGACGGUCUCAGCCAUUGCUUCUUGGUCUUCUGCUUCUGUACAGAGUUCCUUAUAAACAUUCUUUGAUUCCCUC